UUCACCCGGCAUUUCGGCUCGACGUCACGGCGGUGGUGUCGCUCGGCCGCCGGUCUUUUCGGGUUUUUUUUUUUCCUCCCCCCCAGCAGCGGCUCCGGGGGGGGGGGUGGUGGCGGUUGCGCUAUAAAACGGGCGACCGGGUGGCCCCGCGCGCCACAGCUCGACACGUUCAUGACCGGCGCCAUGGCGGCCUCCUCGGACAGGAUCAUGCUGGGUCCCCUCGUGGCAGCCGUGGACCAGGGCACGAGCUCCACGCGCUUCCUGGUGUUCAAUGCCAAGACAGCUGAGCUCCUCAGUCAUCACCAGGUGGAGAUCAAGCAGAGUUUCCCCAAGGAAGGGUGGGUUGAGGAAGACCCAAGGGAGAUCCUGCAGUCGGUGUAUGAGUGCAUGGAGCGGACGUGCGAGAAACUGACCCAGCUGAACAUCGACAUCUCCAACAUCAAAGCGAUUGGAGUGACCAAUCAGAGAGAGACCACGCUGGUUUGGGACAAGGAGACGGGGGAGCCUCUCUACAACGCCAUUGUGUGGCUGGACCUGCGCACUCAGUCCACGGUGGAGCGACUCAUCAACAAGACCCCCGGCAGAAACAAGAACCACCUGAAGCACAAGACCGGCCUUCCCAUCAGCACCUACUUCAGCGCCGUGAAGCUGCGCUGGCUCGUGGACAACGUGCUGGAAGUCCACGAGGCCGUGCAGUCGCACAGGGCCAUGUUCGGCACCAUUGACUCCUGGCUCAUCUGGUGCCUCACGGGGGGCAGAAAUGGCGGCGUUCACUGCACGGAUGUGACCAACGCCAGCCGGACCAUGCUCUUCAACAUUCACACCAUGGACUGGGACCCGGAGCUCUGCAAAUACUUUGACAUCCCGAUGGAGAUCCUGCCCAAAGUGAGAAGCUCCUCAGAAAUAUAUGGUUUAAUGAGAAUAAGCUCUAGUCUGAAAUCCGGCUCUCUCACCGGGGUGCCCAUAUCAGGGUGCCUGGGGGACCAGUCUGCUGCGCUGGUCGGUCAGAUGUGUUUCCAGGAUGGACACGCCAAAAACACGUAUGGCACUGGCUGCUUCCUUCUCAGAAACACUGGCCUCAAGCCGGUGAUGUCGGACCACGGCCUCCUGACUACGGUGGCCUACAAGUUGGGUCGGGACAAGCCGGCCUACUAUGCCCUAGAGGGCUCAGUAGCGAUUGCUGGAGCUGUGGUCCAGUGGCUGAAGGACAACCUGGGCAUCGUCCAAUCCUCUGUUGAGAUUGAGAACCUGGCAGCUGCUGUGGGCACCUCCUACGGCUGCUACUUUGUCCCAGCGUUUUCGGGCUUGUACGCCCCCUACUGGGAGCCCAGCGCAAGAGGUGCCUCUUCUGAAGUCUUCUUCUCUCCAUCGUCGUCCUGCUGUCCCUCUGCUCUCCUGCAGCAUCAUCUGUGGUCUGACGCAGUUCACAAACAGGAGCCAUCUGGCCUUCGCGGCCCUCGAGGCCGUCUGCUUCCAGACCCGGGAGAUCCUGGAUGCCAUGAACCAGGACAGCGGGAUCCCUCUCACACAGCUGCAGGUGGACGGGGGAAUGACCUCCAACCGGCUACUCAUGCAGCUGCAGGCCGAUAUUCUGUGCAUCCCUGUAGUGAAGCCCUCCAUGCCAGAGACCACGGCCCUGGGGGCGGCCAUGGCGGCCGGGGCAGCGGAGGGAGUCAGCGUGUGGAGCUUGAAGCCCGAAGAUCUGACCGCGGUCACAUGCGAGAAGUUCGAGCCCCAGAUAAAUCCAGAAGAGAGCGAAUUCCGCUAUGCCCGCUGGAAGAAAGCUGUGCAGAAAGCCAUGAACUGGGAGACCACAGAGCCUGUUGCCAACGGAAAUGGUGAAACUAGUAUCUUCAGUAGUGUUCCACUGGGAUUUUACAUUCUGGGUAGCAUGUUUAUGUUAAUUGGAGCAAAGUACAUUGCAGGUCAUCACCUGUAGAGUCUGACCACAAUACAGUGCUGUGGAACAGUGGCCCAAUUUCUUCUCGACGAAGGACAUCUUCCUGAAAAGAGCGUUAAGACUUUACCGUCCAUUUCCCAGAGUUCCUUGACGUUGCCCUGCAAUGGAGUCUGUUGUCAUCAACAACCAUGUGUGAUGCAGCGGGUUGCUUGCUCCCAUGGGCACCUUGCCUUAAGCCAGUCGAUGUGCACUGAAAGGAAGGAGCAAGUCAGUGUGCACAUUAAGGUUUGAACCAAUCAGAAAACAGCAAAAUGGAGGCUUGAGCCAAUCAGAGUGCACUGAAGUGAAGCAGUAAAAAUUCUGAUGUAGUGUCAUCUUUCCAAAAAGUUUCAAACCCUUGAUAACCUUGUAUAUGAUGGGAAUGGUGUUUUUCAUAUUGUUGUCAUUGUGAGAACAUUGAAUAACCUGGUCAGUAUAGUCUGUUUAUGCAUUCAUUGAUUUUUACUUGAUGUGAUUAAUUCUAAUUGGAGGAAAAUUAAAUUGCAGCACUUUAUUACACAGAAGUUUCUAGAGGUACGUCUCGUACUUUUUAAGAAUAUCUAACAGAAGGUGAGGGUGGUAUUUUAGAGACAAGUCGGUCGGAUGACUAGUCACUGUGUAUGUAAUGAAUUAUUGUGAUUCAAAAUGAGAAUACCUGUCAAACCCAGGGCUUUAGGUUAAAGUUUUCACAUGCUAAUGUUUUUAAUACCCUGCUGAAUCACUGCACUGUAAGUGAGGUCUGACAAUGUCAGUUCUACCUGACUGUAACGAAAGGUUGUCACUGGUUAGUUACCUUGUCCAGAUGCUGUACUUCCGACCGCCUCUUAUAUUUCUACGUUAAUGUUUUGCAGUCCGCCACCUGCCAAACAGUGACGGUGUCAAAGUGAUCUGUUCCUUUGGACGCACAAUCAUUCUGUGGUAUUUUCUUUACUUAGGAUUCCAAUGAAAGAUUCUGUUUUGUAUUUAUAGAGCUACUGCACGGUUUGUGUCUUGCCUCUGCAACAGCCUCCUGUCUUCAUUCCCAAAAUGAGAUGUCUCUCUGGUACAAAAAGUGAGGUUUAUUCACUGUAAUACAGUCUAAAUCGGGCACGUGGGUCGGAACCUGAUGCUGUGCUACUAUUUGUGGACAUAGUUAUGAACUACUUGUACAGUGAUGAAUUGCACUCUGGCUGUUGUGAGCAAAUGUAAUUUUCAUAAAUUAUUUUCUCGUUUCAGGACACACACAUGUUUCCAGUGAUGUUUUUGAGCCAGGUUGAAACUUGCUUUUUGGGAGUGGUGGUAUUUUUCCACCACUGUCCUGUAUCCAUUACUUCUGUGAUUAAAUUAUAUUUAAAACAGUUUGCAGUGGCCUAUGAAUGCAUGUUGUGGAGUUUUCUCUCAUAGCUUCAUGAGUUUACUGCUCCAUUAUGCAUCUGCACAUCACCUAUUACCUCAAUUCUAUACAGUGCUGUAUAGUGUUCAUUGUGCCAGACUGGUUUAGAAAUGUUGCUUCACAUGUUAUCAGAUAUUGAAUAACUGAAGGCCACAGUUUGU